UAGCCGUAUCUCAUUGAAAAGACUGAUUCUCAUAUGACCACUGAAGUUGAGCAAUGUCAAGCCUGGUCAGUACCUGGAUGGGUGACCAUCUGUGAAUACCAGGUGCUGUAAG